rnacentral:sRNA from 1 species
AUGUACCCCGUGUCCAGAGCGGUUACGGGCGCGCGGUCCGCGCCCACCUGACAGCUGCUCGCUCCGUGUUGUUAGCC